rnacentral:lncRNA from 1 species
AUGGAGGAGAGGUCUGCUCUAUCUAUUCCCUCCGUUUCCUCUGGUUCAAAGAUCACUGGUGAGACUCCGCCAACAGUCAGCAGAAGCAAUCCUGGUGACACCCUUUUGGCCUCGACAGUUUUGGUUUCCGACCCUGCUGGAAAUGGCAAUAGACUCUGUGAGACUUCCAAUUUUUCCAGCCCUGCUCACUCAGGAUGCAGGCAAGAUCUUUCACCCCGACCUGAGCACACUGUGUCUCACUGCGUGGAGAAUAUCCCGGAGAUCAAAGAGAUACUAGAUAAGUCCAAAAAGGCAUCAACCUCCACAUUGUAUACUUAUAAGUGGAAGAGUUUUCUUAAGUUCACUGAGUCUAGAGGAUUGUUAGCUUCUCCAGCCUCACUUUCUACAUUGUUGCAGUUCCUACGUUAUUUGUUCGACUUUAAGCUGUCUGUUUCUACUUUAAGAGUUUACAUUGCGGCGAUUGUUUUGUUUCAUCCUAGAGAUUCUCCUUCACGUUUCUUUUCUCAUCCCACAGUCAAGGCUUUCCUCAAGGGGCUUACCCAUCUACAACCUCCGGUUAAACCGCCGGUACCCCAGUGGUCACUCCAUCUAGUGUUGAAUGCGCUCAUGCGUCCUCCAUUCGAGCCUCUGGCUACCUGCUCUCUCAAGCUGCUGUCUCUGAAGGUAUUGUUUCUGGUCGCCAUCACGUCUGCUCGUAGGGCUAGCGAGCUUGUUGCCCUGCGAGCUGACCAACCCUUCUUACAGUUUUUCCACGAUAAAGUAGUUUUGCAUAUAAAUGUCUCCUUUCUUCCAAAGGUCGUCUCAGAAUUUUAUUUGAACCAGCCUUUAAUACUCCCUACGUUGUUUUCACAACCUGCAACUGAUACAGAGCACAUGCUCCACACUCUGGAUGCCAGGAGAGCACUGUCUUUUUACGUUUCCUGUACCAAGGACUUCAGGUUGUCUCCCAAACUUUUCCUGUGCUAUUUUGGGCAGAAGAAAGGUCUUCCAGCCUCCUCCUUGUCAAUCUCAUGGUGGCUGGUUACUGCGAUAUCUUUAGCCUAUGAACUUCAGCAGAAGUCUCCACCUGAGGGUUUGCGCGUCCAUUCCACCAGGGCAGUAGCCUCUUCCACAGCUCUUCUACGUGGUGUCGAUCUCCCUGACAUAUGCAGGACUGCUACUUGGACCUGGGUGUCCACCUUUAUCACCCAUUAUAGACUAGACAUGAGGGCCAAGAGAGAAACAAGAUUUGGGAGAGUUGUCCUCGCGUCCGCCCUUCAGUGA